rnacentral:rRNA from 1 species
GACGAACCGUGCGACCGUUAUUCGGAAUCACUGGGCUUAAAGGGCGCGUAGACGGGCGACCGCGUCGAUGGCUGAAAGCCCCCGGCUCAACCGGGGAACGGGCCUCGAUACGGGUCGCCUCGAGUGGAGGAGGGGGACCUGGAACUGCCGGUGGAGCGGUGAAAUGCGUUGAGAUCGGCAGGAACGCCUGGGGCGAAAGCGGGGUCCUGGACUCUUACUGACGUUGAGGCGCGAAAGCCAGGGGAGCGAACGGG